rnacentral:rRNA from 1 species
GAUGAACGCUGGCGGCGUGCUUAACACAUGCAAGUCGAACGGAAAGGCCCAAGCUUGCUUGGGUACUCGAGUGGCGAACGGGGGAGUAACACGUGUGUGAUCUGCCCUGCACUUCGGGAUAAGCCUGGGAAACUGGGUCUAAUACCGGAUAGGACCACGUCUUGGAUGUUGUGGUGGAAAGUUUUUUCGGUGUGGGAUGAGCUCGCGGCCUAUCAGCUUGUGGGUGUGGUAAUGGCCUACCAAGGCGUCGACGGGUAGCCGGCCUGCGAGGGUGUACGGCCACAUUAGGCCUCAACGACGGCCCAGAGUCCUACGGGAGGCAGCAGUGGCGCAUAUUGCACACUGCGCGCACGCCUGAUGCAGCGACGCCGCGUGGGGGAUGACGGCCUUCGGGUUGUAAACUCCUUUCGCUAGGGACGAAGCGUUUUUGUGACGGUACCUGGAGAAGAAGCACCGGCUAACUACGUG